AACCCUGAAACAGAAUCGAACAAUCACUACGUUGUCGACGUCACGUCACGUGUACGUUCGGGGAACUGGCGCGGUCUGUCCUGCAUGUUGAAACUUCCAGAAAUAUUUUUCAAUGGAAGGCCACGUAAACAUUGACUUUUUCCAGACACAAUUGAAAUCUGUGCUGCACAUAUUGAUGGAUGUUGCAGUAACUGAAAUAACACAUAUUUUCCAAUGCACAGUGGGGUGCGAUAACGGUAGGCCUUCUAUUCGAAACAGUGAAUUGCUCGAAUGCAGGUUGAAGAGCGCGCUGGAAGGAAUGAGGAAUUCAGGAAUGAGCCCAAAUGACAAAACGACCAAUUACAAUAGAGCAUGGUAUCUCGGACCUUAACCAUGGGAGAAAUCAGAUUGCACUGCCUCAACGUCAAAGCGAACUAAUUCCAAUAUCCUUCUCAAAAACGAGAGAGAAGACGCACUCUGGGAAGGGAUAUGGAGCACUCAGGAUUGCAGUCUGCUGCGAGGAAACAUAGAACAGUUACAUCACUUCCCAGAAGGGGGGAUUUUACAAGUCCCCGUCUCAAGGAACGAAAAAGCACGUUUGACGCCCGUCAACCACACAACCUCUCCCCUGAACCAGUCCCAAGAGGACGAUCCCACCAUAACAUCACCUGCUGAACAAUCAAACAAACCAGAAGUGCCGUCACGCACCACAGUCGCCUCACACAAACAGGAGUCCUCGCCAGGACUCAGGAUUGUGUCCGUUUUCACCAGCCCACUGAUGCUGGAGGACCUGGAAGCGGAUAGGAUCGCUGCCAGCACGCCACGGACACGUUCCUCACACCGCGCGCCCUCUGAGCGCCAGGAAACCCGCACCCCUCCUCUCAUACCUCCACUGAGAAAAACCCUCACCCGCUCCCGAGCAGCCAGGCGCCCCGCUUUCGAUCGUGUUUUGGAAGCGAAGGUGUCCGAGCCCUCGGAUGUGAAGGAAAGGCUCGACACUGGGCCUGUCCGGCUGCCAGAGUCCAGUAGAAGAGGUGAAGACACGAUGGAAGAUUUCGUCCUUACUCUGAACAGCUCCUCCUCCAGCUCCACCGCCUCCUCUCCCACCCUCCCCUCUCCCACCUUCACCUUCCCCUCUCCCUCCACCACCUCCCCCCCUCCUCCUCCGCCGGCCAGCUCCUCC